UUUUUUUUUAAAUUUUCUCACAUUAUUUCUGUCUCUCUGAGCAAAGUGUUAAGAUUUCCUGCAGCCUGCUGUUGCUUACUCGGACCUUCUAAUUGAGUGCGACACCUGAGUGGAGCGCAGACUCACAGGUAAUCAGCCAUCUCCACGGGUCCCGGACAGCUGAGAGACAUCACCAUGAUUACACACCGACAAUAAGAAACCGCUCAUCCUUCCACACCCUGCCAGAUUGUUGAAUACGACUACCUAACACCGCUGUCCUGGACCUUCCCCGCUGUGUUCCCUCGUCUGCCCCCCUGGAAAUCAUUCGGCACCGUGCAUUCCCCUCCUGGACCCCCAUUUGGCUCGGACUCCCUGAAAGCUGUACUUACUUUCAUUCCUCCAUUUAAAAACUACCUAAUUCAGGGUUAUACUGUUGCAAGUUAGCUGCUGUAGCGGAAAGGCUUUGUGGUAAUUAAAUCCCUCUUGGCCAAACAACGAAACAUUUUACCAGUAUUGCAUUUGCUGUAGACUCGGAGAGCUGUAAAAUUCUCCAGCUCUCUCAGAUCCUGCUGGAGACGAACUUAUUUUCCAAAGUUCAAAGACUUGAUCGACUGCUUCAGAUCAAUUUACAUCACUUUAAAACUUGUGCGCCCAUUAGGACCAUUUUCCUCAGCUCUGUUGAGAUAAAUGUAGGCCCGACUGUGAAUGUGCUGUGAAUAGAUGUAAGUGGAAUGAUCACUUGCGAUUUGGGGGAGAACUUUCCCAGAUGAGAACAAGUAAGACUCAUGUCUCUACAAUUUCUCGAGGCUAAAUUACAAUCUCGUCUUCUGAGGCUGCUCUCAGUGGAUAAAUUAUAUUGAAUCUUUGAUCGAUUUCUCACUGUGUUUUUCUUGAGUCUAAAAGAACUUGAUCAUUAAUUCUAAAGGGCUGGCACCAACAUGCGAGACACUGGAUUCCCAAUGCUAAGAGGCUGUGAAAUAAAUUGAAUUUUUAGAGGAAUAAUGUUUGAGGGGGUAAAAACUCGAUCCUAUUUAGGUUAAAUCAAAAUAAUAUUCGCAAAGCACCUCAGAGUUUUAGAAUGUAGAGAGUAGGAUGCUGUAGCGUAAGAACACUUAGAGAUUGAAAAUGAAAUUUAUCACAUCUAAUAAUUUAGCGGAGUUAAAAAAGAUUUCUGCAAUGUCAAUAAAAAAUAUGAAACAUGAAUAAAUUGAUUGCCCAAGUA